GACUCUGUAGUGAAGUUCAUGUUGAGUUGCAAGCUCAUUGAUGUACAUUGUGUAUGUACCGGAGUCU
rnacentral:tRNA from 1 species